rnacentral:tRNA from 1 species
GGGGAUGUAGCUCAGCUGGUAGAGCACCUGCUUUGCAAGCAGGGGGUCAGGAGUUCGAAUCUCCUCAUCUCCA